rnacentral:rRNA from 1 species
CGGGAGGCAGCAGUGAGGAAUUUUCCGCAAUGGGCGCAAGCCUGACGGAGCAACGCCGCGUGAGGGAUGAAGGUUUUCGGAUCGUAAACCUCUGUCUUCAGGGACGAUAAUGACGGUACCUGAGGAGGAAGCCACGGCUAACUACGUGCCAGCAGCCGCGGUAAUACGUAGGUGGCAAGCGUUGUCCGGAAUUACUGGGCGUAAAGGGCGUGUAGGCGGCCUUUUAAGUCAGACGUGAAAUCCCUGGGCUUAACCCAGGAACUGCGUUUGAAACUGAGAGGCUUGAGGAUCGGAGAGGGCAGUGGAAUUCCCAGUGUAGCGGUGAAAUGCGUAGAUAUUGGGAGGAACACCAGUGGCGAAGGCGACUGUCCGGACGACACCUGACGCUGAGGCGCGAAAGCUAGGGGAGCAAACGGGAUUAGAAACCCGAGUAGUCCG